rnacentral:misc_RNA from 1 species
UUGAACACACCGCCCGUCACACCAUGGAAGCUGGUAGUGCCCGAAGUCAUUACUCCAACCCUUCGGGGAGGAGGAUGCCUAAGGCAGGACUGGUGACUGGGGUGAAGUCGUAACAAGGUAGCCGUACCGGAAGGUGUGGCUGGAUCACCUCCUUUUUAGGGAGACCUACACCCCUUACAGCUCGAAAAGCAUAAAGCUAUAUAGAACGUAAGUUGGUCUAACCUAGGUCGGUCGAGAUGGUUUAAAGCUUUCAAAGUAUUAAUGGUUCAGAAUAUUAAACGAAAAAAAUAGUGAGAGUUCAGCAACAUGACUUAAGAGUCAGACUGCUGAGAUUAAUCUCAGCCAGAACCUUGAAAACUGCAUAGUAACGCGAAUUAGCAGGCAGACAGAGACAUUCUUUGAUGGAUGUUCUUGUGAAUGCAAGUCAUAAAAAGACCAAAUGAAAUGAGUGGUCAAGCUAAUAAGGGCUCGUUGGAUACCCUAGGCAAAAGGU